GACGAACGCUGGCGGCGUGCCUAAUACAUGCAAGUAGAACGCACAGUUUAUACCGUGGCUUGCUCCACCAUAGACUGUGAGUUGCGAACGGGUGAGUAACGCGUAGGUAACCUGCCUGGUAGCGGGGGAUAACUAUUGGUAACGAUAGCUAAUACCGCAUAAUAUUAAUUAUUGCAUGAUAAUUGAUGGAAAGAUGCAACUGCAUCACUAACAGAUGGACCUGCGUUGUAUUAGCUAGUAGGUGAGGUAACGGCUCACCUAGGCGACGAUACAUAGCCGACCUGCAAGGGUGAUCGGCCAAACUGGGACUGAGACACGGCCCAGACUCCUGCGGGAGGCAGCAGGAGGGAAUCUUCGGGAAUGGACGAAAGUCUGAACGAGCAACGCCGCGUGAGUGAAGAAGGUUUUCGGAUCGUAAAGCUCUGUUGUAAGAGAAGAACGGGUGUGAGAGUGGAAAGUUCACACUGUGACGGUAUCUUACCAGAAAGGGACGGCUAACUACGUG
rnacentral:rRNA from 1 species